UACGUAGGGGGCGAGCGUUGUCCGGAGUUACUGGGCGUAAAGGGCAUGCAGGCGGUCGGACGCGUUUCGGGUGACAGCGGGUGGCUUAACUACCCGAGUGGUCGAAAGACGGUUUGACUUGAGGACGCGAGAGGGACACGGAAUUCCGGGUGGAGUGGUGAAAUGCGUAGAGAUCCGGAGGAACACCGAAGGCGAAGGCAGUGUCCUGGCGCGUAACUGACGCUGAGGUGCGAAAGCGUGGGGAGCGAACCGG
rnacentral:rRNA from 1 species